rnacentral:rRNA from 1 species
UCAAAUGAAUUGACGGUCCCCGCACAAGCAGCGGAGCGUGUGGUUUAAUUCGAUGCUACACGAAGAACCUUACCUGGGUUUGACAUAGAGGUAGUAGGGAAGCGAAAGCGGACGACCCUUCGGGGAGCCUCUACAGGUGUUGCAUGGCUGUCGUCAGCUCGUGUCGUGAGAUGUUCGGUUAAGUCCGCUAACGAGCGCAACCCUCGCUGUGUGUUACAAGUGUCACACGGUACUGCCGAUAUUAAGUCGGAGGAAGGUGGGGAUGACGUCAAGUCAGCAUGACCUUUAUAUCCAGGGCUACACACACGCUACAAUGGCCAGUACAAUGGGUUGCCAAGCCGCGAGGCGGAGCCAAUCCUAAAAAGCUGGCCUCAGUUCAGAUUGCAGUCUGCAACUCGACUGCAUGAAGUUGGAGUUGCUAGUAACCGCAGGUCAGCAAUACUGCGGUGAAUACGUUCCCGGGGAUU